rnacentral:rRNA from 1 species
GACGAACGCUGGCGGCGUGCUUAACACAUGCAAGUCGAACGGAAAGGCCCUGCUUUUGUGGGGUGCUCGAGUGGCGAACGGGUGAGUAACACGUGAGUAACCUGCCCUUGACUUUGGGAUAACUUCAGGAAACUGGGGCUAAUACCGGAUAGGAGCUCCUGCUGCAUGGUGGGGGUUGGAAAGUUUCGGCGGUUGGGGAUGGACUCGCGGCUUAUCAGCUUGUUGGUGGGGUAGUGGCUUACCAAGGCUUUGACGGGUAGCCGGCCUGAGAGGGUGAACGGCCACAAUGGGACUGAGAUACGGCCCAGACUCCUACGGGAGGCAGCAGUGGGAAAUAUUGCACAAUGGGCGGAAGCCUGAUGCAGCAACGCCGCGUGCGGGAUGACGGCCUUCGGGUUGUAAACCGCUUUCGCCUGUGACGAAGCGUGAGUGACGGUAAUGGGUAAAGAAGCACCGGCUAACUACGUG